rnacentral:piRNA from 1 species
GAGAAAGGAAGGAUUAGACAUUUCUGC